CACAGGCCAGAUGUACUAACGGUGUAGCAUUAUUUUGUGCAAGAAUGAACGAUGUUAACUCACAAGCGUAAGGAGUUCUUAGUGUCAGGCAUAAAUUCCAGGGUCUUGAACAAGAAAUUUGGUUCCAUCAGGAUCCGUGGAUUUAUUGCCUGGCGAGAUGGGUUGGCCUGGGAAAACCUUCUUGGAAAAGGCCUUGUAUUUGCUAAGGGGCCAUGAAAAUAUGAACCCAAAGCUUCACAGACUCAGAGAUCCGAGGGAGAGGAGGCGAGCCGCCAUUUUCCGACCGUCGCUCUCCCUGAAACAACGGAAAGAAAGAGAACCCCCCGAUUCGCGCCGGGGAGAGAGGGCACCCGCGCCGGAGCGAGCUCGGCACGCGGAUCACGGAGGCAAGGGGGAGACGGAGCCCCGCACAGCCCGCAGAGAAAGCCGGGGGUCGGAGGGGGACCCUGUUUUAAACCUUGCUCCGUAAUUUUUUUUUUCUCCUCUCUCUCUCUCUCCUCUGCGAGUCGGGCUUCUUGACUCGUCGUCGUUUCGCCCAUUUCGCGAUUCCGAGAGCAACACGGGCUCACCGACGCCGGAGCCCCGCCGGGAGCUGGUCGCCAAGGGGCCGGUGGGGACGGCGUGAGCCCGGUAAUUCAUUAUUUUUUUUUUACUAUUUUUUUUU
rnacentral:lncRNA from 1 species